AUUGAACGCUGGCGGCAUGCCUUACACAUGCAAGUCGAACGGCAGCGGACCUUCGGGUGCCGGCGAGUGGCGAACGGGUGAGUAAUAUAUCGGAACGUGCCUUUCAGUGGGGGAUAACGUAGCGAAAGUUACGCUAAUACCGCAUAUUCUCUGAGGAGGAAAGCAGGGGACCUUCGGGCCUUGCGCUGAUAGAGCGGCCGAUAUCAGAUUAGCUAGUUGGUGGGGUAAAGGCCUACCAAGGCGACGAUCUGUAGCGGGUCUGAGAGGAUGAUCCGCAGGACGGGGGCUGUGACACGGCGCAGACCGCUACGGGAGGCAGCAGUGGGGAAUGUGGGACAAUGGGCGAAAGCGUGAUUCAGCCAUGCCGCGUGAGUGAAGAAGGCCUUCGGGUUGUAAAGCUCUUUCGGCCGGGAAGAAAUCGCACAGGCUAAUAUCUUGUGUGGAUGACGGUACCGGAGUAAGAAGCACCGGCUAACUACGUGCCAGCAGCCGCCGUAACAC
rnacentral:rRNA from 1 species